rnacentral:rRNA from 1 species
GGAGGGUGCGAGCGUUAAUCGGAAUGACUGGGCGUAAAGGGCAUGUAGGCGGAUAAUUAAGUUAGGUGUGAAAGCCCUGGGCUCAACCUAGGAAUUGCACUUAAAACUGGUUAACUAGAGUAUUGUAGAGGAAGGUAGAAUUCCACGUGUAGCGGUGAAAUGCGUAGAGAUGUGGAGGAAUACCGGUGGCGAAGGUGGCCUUCUGGACAGAUACUGACGCUGAGAUGCGAAAGCGUAGGGAGCAAACAGGAUUAGAUACCCUGGUAGUCCACGCUGUAAACGAUGUCGAUUUGGAGUUUGUUGCCUAGAGUGAUGGGCUCCGAAGCUAACGCGAUAAAUCGACCGCCUGGGGAGUACGACCGCAAGGUUA